UACGUAGGGUGCAAGCGUUAAUCGGAAUUACUGGGCGUAAAGCGUGCGCAGGCGGUUAUGCAAGACAGAUGUGAAAUCCCCGGGCUUAACCUGGGAACCGCAUUUGUGACUGCAUAGCUGGAGUACGGCAGAGGGGGAUGGAAUUCCGCGUGUAGCAGUGAAAUGCGUAGAUAUGCGGAGGAACACCGAUGGCGAAGGCAGUCCCCUGGGCCUGUACUGACGCUCAUGCACGAAAGCUAGGGGAGCGAAAGGG
rnacentral:rRNA from 1 species